AAUAUGAGUCAGUCAAAUUUUCUAAUUUGUGAACAAAUAUAAAUUUCCAAAAAAUGACAAUAGAAGAAAAUAAUCGCUAAUAAUCUUCAAAUUAAAUGAUUACUCAAUUUCCAUCCGGAGCAGAGUCUGCGAUAAUCAUUUCAUAAUCGAAAAUUCUAUUUCUCUAAUGAUGAGUUUGAAGAAAAUGACACAGACAAAUAAAGGAUUUGGAGACGUUACAGUUGAUGAUUUUAAUUCACCCAGAAAAGCCUUAAUAAUGUCUAACUCACAUACACUUAUCCAGUCAAAUGAAAAAUUCACUGGAGGCUGAAUUUCAUGAAAUGUUUGAAAAUUGUCGAAGCCGUCAUAAAGCACUCUAGAAAAUGAUAAAGAUAAAAUUAUGGAUGCUUAGACUUAUAAAAACCGUUCAUAUUCUGAUACUGCACUCAAUGAUACUGUCGAAAAUUACUUAAUGAUAUGUUAUUUAUCAUACAUAACAUUAUAAAAUUAAAAAUACUUUAAAUAGUAUCUUUAUUCGG
rnacentral:lncRNA from 1 species